rnacentral:lncRNA from 1 species
CUUCUCCUCCUCCUCCUCCUCCUCCUCCUCCUCGCUUCCCUUUCUUUCCUUCCGCUUCUUUCUCUUCUCCUCCUUCCCCUGCCCCGUCUCCCCUCCACCUUCACCGGAGGGCACCUAGUCGUCCAGUCCGGGAGCGCAGGCAGCGGCCCCCGCGGGUGCAUCCAUCCAGUCCAGACUUUAUUGAUCUGAUCCAGGGUAUCUUGGGACUGCUGGCUGGAAUUAAGGGCCUUCACUUAUGCAGCCAUGGUUGGAUGCCUACAUGUGUAUGUUCAGACCUGAACCCUUUUGCAGAAUGUUCACUACAGGUAAACACUAUUCUCUCUCUCUUUUUUUUUUUUGGUAAACA